AUGAAGCGGCCGGGGGCGGUAACCCACGGUCACGUAUACCACUGUUUUGGGAAUUGGCCUGAGCAAAUUUGGUGUAAAUGGUGUAAAACAACUGAGAUAUUGCAUUUACCAAGAAAUGGCGAAAGAUUUUCCUGUCAUGAUAGGCCCCUCCCACUUUUCACAGCCUGCUCUAUUUGCCAUAGCAAUGUGCUUCCAUCUAAUAAGAUUCAUCCUACAGUGUUUUUGAAGUCAACACGACAUAUCGUCUGUCCGCUACAGCUGCUCGUGUAGGACGACCACAGAAGCGGCGCCCUCUGAGAACGCAAGGCAUUGUGGGUAAAUUGGUUAUCAUUUGUUGUUUAGCUCUGGACAGUGAUCGUGUGUAUCAAACAUGAAGCAGUUUGAACUUUGCACUCUAGAGUUAUAAGCGUUUUUGUAUAACGGCGUAGUUAUGGCGAGGGAUUUUCGUGUGUCAUUAUAGGCCCCCUCCCACUGGCCAUGAUGGGUAAUUUGGUCAUCGAGCGUUGUUCAUGGAUGGACAAUCAUCGUGUGUAUCAAAUGUGAAGCAGUUUGAACUUUGCAUUGAAGCGUUAUAAGCAUUUUCCUAUUAUAGCGUGCUGAUGGCGAAGGAUUCUCCCGUGUCAUUAUAGGCCCCUCCCACUGAUCACAGCCUGUUUUUUUCUUCCAUAGCAAUUUGCUCCCCUCUGUUGUAGGUUCAUCCUACAGUGUUUUUGAAGUCAACACGACAUAUCGUCUGUCCGCUACAGCUGCUCGUGUAGGACGACCACAGAAGCGGCGCCCUCUGAGAACGCAAGGCAUUGUGGGUAAAUUAGCUAUCGUUGUUGUUUAGCUCUGGACAGUGAUCGUGUGUAUCAAAUAUGAAGCAGUUUGAACUUGCACUCUAGAGUUAUAAGCGUUUUCGUAUAACGGCGUAGUUAUGGCGAGGGAUGUUCCUGUGUCAUGAUAGGCCCCUCCCACUUUUCACAGCCUGCUCUAUUUGCCAUAGCAAUGUGCUUCCAUCUAAUAAGAUUCAUCCUACAGUGUUUUGAAGUCAACACGACAUAUCGUCUGUCCGCUACAGCUGCUCGUGUAGGACGACCACAGAAGCGGCGCCCUCUGAGAGCGCAAGGCAUUGUGGGUGUUUUUGGUUAUCGUUUGUUGUUUAGCUCUGGACAGUGAUCGGUGUAUCAAAUAUGAAGCACUUUGAACUUUGCAUUGAAGCGUUAUAAGCAUUUUCCUAUUAUAGCGUGCUGAUGGCGAAGGAUUCUCCCGUGUCAUUAUAGGCCCCUCCCACUGAUCACAGCCUGUUUUUUUCUUCCAUAGCAAUUUGCUACCCUCUGUGUAGGUUCAUCCUACAGUGUUUUGAAGUCAACACGACAUAUCGUCUCUCCGCUACAGCUGCUCGUGUUGGACGACCACAUAAGUGGCGCCCUCUGAGAACGCAAGGCAUUAUGGGUAAAUUGGUUCUCGAGUUUUGUUUAUGGCUGUACGGUCAUCAUGUGUAUCAAAUAUGAAGCAGUUUGAACUUUGCAUUCUAGAGUUAUAAGCUUUUUCGUAUAACGGCGUAGUUAUGGCGAGGGAUUUUCUUGUGUCAUUAUAGGCCCCUCCCACUGGCCAUGAUGGGUAAUUUGGUCAUCGAGCGUUGUUUAUUGAUGGACAAUCAUCGUGUGUAUCAAAUAUGAAGCAGUUUGAACUUUGCAUUGAAGCGUUUUAAGCAUUUUCUUAUUAUAGCGUGCUGAUGGCGAAGGAUUCUCCCGUGUAAUUAUAGGCCCCUCCCACUGAUCACAGCCUGUUUUUUCUUCCAUAGCAAUUUGCUACCCUCUGUGUAGGUUCAUCCUACAGUGUUUUGAAGUCAACACGACAUAUCGUCUGUCCGCUACAGCUGCUCGUGUUGGACGACCACAGAAGUGGCGCCCUCUGAGAACGCAAGGCAUUAUGGGUAAAUUGGUUCUCGAGUUUUGUUAAUGGCUGUACGGUCAUCAUGUGUAUCAAAUAUGAAGCAGUUUGAACUUUGCAUUCUAGAGUUAUAAGCUUUUUCCUAGAACGGCGUCCUGUUGAUGCUAACCGUGUACAUGACCUUAAAUGACACCGGUCGAAAACACAAGGCAUGAUGGGAAAUGUUUCAAAGCAGUCAUGACCAAGCUUGGGCACAUGUCCUUUGUGUGAAAUUUGAAGCUGAUCGAAGUUUUGUGGUCAGUUAUGGAGAUUUGGAAUUUUUUUGCGUGCUAACGAAAAUUAGCAUUGCAUUUUUGUGGCGGCGCCACGACCAAACCGUGACAGAUACGAAAAUUCUUUGAUAACUUUUUCAUCUUCAAUGGGUCCUAUGUGGUGUUGCCAAGUUUUAAGCGAAUCGGAUGAAUCCCCUCAGACUAGUUCGCGCAGAUGCGUUUCGAGGGCGAAACGCCAUUUUUGACCUUUGACCCAAGAUGGCUGACUUCCUGUUUGGUUUUGGGCGGGGUCACAAUGUAACUUUUUGCUCAUUCUGGGGCGGAGACUACACGUGGCGAUUUUCGUACAUAUCGGUCAAACCUGGCGGUCGUGCGGUUCCAUCGUUUUUUUGGCGGCGAAACCGCACGCAUAGCGUGCGUUUUCUGUCCGUUUUUUUUCACGCCACCUAAUUAUCAAAUUUUUCGCCAGGCCUGAGGUGCGUGCAAAUUUCGGUGAGUUUUCGGGCAUUUUUAGGGGGUCGAAUUAGCGAUCAAAGGCGGGCGGGGUAUAAUAAUAAAACGAUAUAAUAGCGAAAACA
ensembl:lncRNA